GUUAACUGCAAUCGCCUACCAGAAAUAAUGGAUACAUUUUCUAGAGUGAAGACGUUCUCUUGGCAACUGCCUGGUAACUUCCCAUGAAAAGCCCAUCUCAGUCUCUCUAUAAGUUGGAUGUUCCUUUGGACACCGAGACAUUCCCUUCUUUCUCUCCCUAGCACUCUCGUUCCCUCUCUUUGAAGAUAAGCAAAGGGAAUAUCUCCAAACAUGUUCUCUCUGUCCUUCAACACUGCAGUUGUGUCUGGUAAGCAACCAUCAUAUACUAAUACAAUCAUGUUCUCCAACCAAAUCUUUUUUCUUCUCCAAUGUUGUGAAGACUCUCAUGGUGAAUCAAUCUUACUGAGAAAUUUAAAUAAAGUUCAAUAAGGCUUUUACUGUUAGCCUUUUGAUAUUCUUGUUUGCCUUCCGCGAUUGAUUACCCAGGUACAUUUCUGCUCAUGUUUUGUGGUUUAAUUUCCUGUUUCCUGACUUGGAUUCCUUGCCCAUUCCUGAUAGGUAAUAUGGAACGCCAGCGUUCUACCAGACCUGGUACUGAAAUUUUACGGGCCUUACAAAAACUUAAGGAAAUUCUGCACCAGAAGGAUAUGCAAUUUGCCUCGGUUGAGUUGGAUGUUCAUUCCUCACAAAACAAUCUCUCUGUUGUCAAGAAUUUGAAGAGUAAUGCAAGCAGUAGUAAGCUUAAAGCUACUGAUGAACUGAGAUUGGCAGAAGAAAUUUCAGAGGAUUUUACAGCUCCACAUGCUGCAAUGAAAGAAGAGGAAACAGACAUGCAUAAGGUGACAAAUGGUAAAAACCUAUUAACAGAUUCGAGGGCCUCAAAUUCAAAUGGGGCAGCAAAGCUGUCACUUGCAAAUUCUUCUAAAGGCGAGGUUUAUAGUAAUUCUCGAGAAGACAAACAGGUUUUGCACGGUAGUGAAAUCGAGCAGCUGAGCGAGCGAUUGAAGUUUCUUGAAGCAGAAAGCAAAAUAAUGAAGCAAGAGUUUUUGGAGUAUGUGAUAGAAAAGAAAAAACUGGUGAAUGAGAUAUAUAAGCAAUUCCAGACUAUAUAUCGUUGCCUUCAACUUGAAAAUCUAGUAAACGGAGAGAGAGGUUUUGAUAUAUCUUUACUUGUCAACCCUUUUCAGGAGGCUGGACUGGAGACUGGCCUGCCAGAAGUUCUAUGGCAAGAUUCAAUCCCAAGUAAUGUCACCAGGGACCAAAGCAGCAAUAUCUUGGCAUUAGAGGAAGUUCCUGAAGAAACAUGGGUUCAUGCUCAUCAGAAUGAAUGAAAAAGCUUGGCACUCAAACCUGCACGUACAAUUUGCUGUUGUGUGGUUGCAGUUUAAUUCUUGCUUGGAUUUCUGAAGAAUUUUAAAAUAAGUUAAGCUUCCAUCUCCUAAGAGAGCAUUUGCAAGAACAGAUCUAAAAUCUAGAAUCAUUUGCAAACUAGACUAUAGAUUUAUAAUCAGUAAAUGCACUAUAAGUAUAAAGAUUAGAAUUUUGGGAAUAAAAAUUAGAGAAAAU
rnacentral:misc_RNA from 1 species